GAAGAUGGAACGGAUCUGAACAAAACAAGGUUUUCAUAUUGUUUUUUUUUCUGUCACAACUAAAAACAAUAUCUCUCAUUUUUCACAAAAACAAUUUCUCUUAUUUGGUGAUUAAAAAAAUUUCUCUUCUUUCUCACAAAAACAGAUCUGAACACAAAUAAGCUUCUAUGGUUGCCACCAACCACCAUGCCACCGUCAUCUUCAUGGGUUCCACACUACAAGAAAAAUCAGAUCUAAACACAAAUAAUAAAUAAAUUUCAUGAUUUCCACAGAAAAACCAGAAUAAUAUUUUCACACUACAAAAGCUUCAUAUAUAGUUGCCAACUAACCACUCGUCUUCUCUUUCUCGCCGCCGACCGUGUUUCUUUCUUUCUCCUAUCUUUUUUUCUUUCUUCUCUUUCACUUGAAAAAAAGGAC
rnacentral:lncRNA from 1 species